UCGAGCGAAGCAUUCUGCUUUAAAUCUUCGGAGGCGAAGCAGUCUGACUGAGCGGCGGACGGGUGAGUAACGCGUGGGCAACCUGCCUCAUACAGGGGGAUAACAGUUAGAAAUGACUGCUAAUACCGCAUAAGACCGCGGUACCGCAUGGUACAGCGGUAAAAACUCCGGUGGUAUGAGAUGGGCCCGCGUCUGAUUAGCUAGUUGGCGGGGUAACGGCCCACCAAGGCGACGAUCAGUAGCCGACCUGAGAGGGUGACCGGCCACAUUGGGACUGAGACACGGCCCAAACUCCUACGGGAGGCAGCAGUGGGGAAUAUUGCACAAUGGGGGAAACCCUGAUGCAGCGACGCCGCGUGAGCGAUGAAGUAUUUCGGUAUGUAAAGCUCUAUCAGCAGGGAAGAAAAUGACGGUACCUGACUAAGAAGCCCCGGCUAACUACGUGCCAGCAGCCGCGGUAAUACGUAGGGGGCAAGCGUUAUCCGGAUUUACUGGGUGUAAAGGGAGCGUAGACGGCAAUGCAAGCCAGAUGUGAAAGCCCGGGGCGCAACCCCGGGACUGCAUUUGGAACUGUGUAGCUGGAGUGUCGGAGAGGCAGGCGGAAUUCCUA
rnacentral:rRNA from 1 species